AACGAACGCUGGCGGCAUGCCUAACACAUGCAAGUCGAACGAGACCUUCGGGUCUAGUGGCGCACGGGUGCGUAACGCGUGAGAACCUGCCCUUAGGUUCGGAAUAACUCCCCGACAGGGGUGCUAAUACCGGAUAAUGUCUUCGGCCCAAAGAUUUAUCGCCUUUGGAUGGGCCCGCGUUGGAUUAGCUAGUUGGUAGGGUAAAAGCCUACCAAGGCGACGAUCCAUAGCUGGUCUGAGAGGAUGAUCAGUCACACUGGGACUGAGACACGGCCCAGACUCCUACGGGAGGCAGCAGUGGGGAAUAUUGGACAAUGGGCGAAAGCCUGAUCCAGCAAGGCCGCGUGAGUGAUGAAGGCCUUAGGGUUGUAAAGCUCUUUUACCCGGGAUGAUAAUGACAGUACCGGGAGAAUAAGCUCCGGCUAACUCCGUG
rnacentral:rRNA from 1 species